rnacentral:lncRNA from 1 species
CAAGUUCUACCGACGGAUAAACCCCCACCAGCGUCGAUCGGAUUCUUCACGACGGACGGACUCCACCCAAGUUUCUACCUGCUAGACUUCAUCCAGACUCCUACGGGAGCCGGACUUCGUCUCCGACUUCAACUGCAGGUAGACUUCAUCCGGACUCCUACGGGAGCCGGGCUUUGUCCCCGACUUCAACUGCAGGAAGACUUCAUCCGGACUCCUACGGGAGCCGGACUUCGUCCCUGACUCCAACUGCAGGUAGACUUCAUCCGGACUCCUACGGGAGCCGGACUUCGUCCCCG